rnacentral:lncRNA from 1 species
GUUGACUCACUCAAAGUCCCAGUGUCCUGGCAGGAUAGUCUUUCGUUAGCAUGUGUGGCAGAGCCAAGACACAACACAUACUGGUUCUACCCAAUGAUAAUGAUGAUGAUGAUGAUGACAAUAACAUUAAUAAUGUCAAGCUUUACCCAGUGAUGAUGAUGGUGAUGAGGGAAGAGGAGGAGAAGAAAGACCAUGGUGAUCACUGCACAAACUGAGUGCUUUACUCAAACCUUUUAGCUUCUCAUUCAAAGUUUUCUCAUCAAUCAUAGAAAAGAGCUGUGAGGGCACUUUGAUGAAAGGAAACUAUCUGUUCUUGGCUUGUUGCCUUUUUAAUAGGCUGAAAAUGUUAAGGGCAAUAAUUCUGAGGCCUUGGACAGAUUCCAUCCUGGGUCAGUCACUUGACUUCAUUGCCAAUAAAUUGUUCAAAAGGAGCAAAACAAAUGAUCAUUGUCUUUAUUGUCAAC